rnacentral:rRNA from 1 species
UGGGGAAUCUUGCGCAAUGGGCGAAAGCCUGACGCAGCCAUGCCGCGUGAAUGAUGAAGGUCUUAGGAUUGUAAAAUUCUUUCACCGGGGACGAUAAUGACGGUACCCGGAGAAGAAGCCCCGGCUAACUUCGUGCCAGUAGCCGCGGUAAUACGAAGGGGGCUAGCGUUGCUCGGAAUUACUGGGCGUAAAGGGAGCGUAAGCGGACAUUUAAGUCAGGGGUGAAAUCCCGGGGCUCAACCUCGGAAUUGCCUUUGAUACUGGGUGUCUUGAGUGUGAGAGAGGUAUGUGGAACUCCGAGUGUAGAGGUGAAAUUCGUAGAUAUUCGGAAGAACACCAGUGGCGAAGGCGACAUACUGGCUCAUUACUGACGCUGAGGCUCGAAAGCGUGGGGAGCAAACAGGAUUAGAUACCCUGGUAGUCCACGCCGUAAACGAUGAUUGCUAGUUGUCGGGAUGCAUGCAUUUCGGUGACGCAGCUAACGCAUUAAGCAAUCCGCCUGGGGAGUACGGUCGCAAGAUUA